rnacentral:tmRNA from 1 species
GGGGCCGUCCCGGAUUCGACAGGUUGGUGAAAGCCGACCCGUGAUGCAGGUCGAGAGUGAGUCUACUCUCGUAAAUUCAGGCUCAACUUCAAAAGUAACUGCGAACAACAUCGUUCCAUUUGCUCGUAAAGCAGCACCUGUUGCUGCCUAAAAGCCUCUGGUUAGGCACGAGCGUUCAUAGUCUGACUCCGUUAAGGGCUAUGGACAAAACCCCAACGGAUGCGCACUUUAAUUGCCUCUGGUCGAUUGAGUGCAAAGACGGUAGGGAAAUAUCCAGCCUGGACAGCAGUUCAACUCUGCUCGGCUCCAUUU